rnacentral:rRNA from 1 species
AUACGGAGGGUGCAAGCGUUGUUCGGAAUUACUGGGCGUAAAGCGCGGGCAGGUGGUCUGUUAAGUCGUUUGUGAAAAUCCGGGGCUCAACCCCGCGAAAUGCAGACGAUACUGGCAGGCUGGAGAUCGGUAGAGGCUAGCGGAAUUCCUGGUGUAGCGGUGGAAUGCGUAGAUAUCAGGAAGAACACCUGUGGCGAAGGCGGCUAGCUGGGCCGAGUCUGACACUCAUCCGCGAAAGCGUGGGGAGCAAACGGGAUUAGAUACCCCGGUAGUCC